rnacentral:rRNA from 1 species
UACGUAGGGGGCUAGCGUUGUCCGGAAUCAUUGGGCGUAAAGCGCGUGUAGGCGGCCCGGUAAGUCCGCUGUGAAAGUCGGGGGCUCAACCCUCGGAUGCCGGUGGAUACUGUCGGGCUCGAGUACGGAAGAGGCGAGUGGAAUUCCUGGUGUAGCGGUGAAAUGCGUAGAUAUCGGAAGGAACACCUGUGGCGAAAGCGGCUCACUGGACCAUUACUGACGCUGAGGCACGAAAGCUAGGGGAGCAAACAGG